GCCACCGCUGUCACGGGACCGUCGCCUGACCCCCCUCCACCGGAAGUGUCGAAUAAUGUCGGCGACGGGAACGAGCGGAAUGUCAUUUUAAAGGGACGCCAGGAUGGGUCCCAAAAAUCUCAUAUUUACCAUGGCUACUACACUUUGUCUGCACAUCUCUGGACACUGUGGGGCAAUUUAAAAUGUCCAGUCCACCAAACCACAUCUUUUGGAGUGGAGGAGGAAACCAGAGCAGCUGACAAAAACCAAUACAGACAUGGGGAGAACACGCAAACUCAACACUGUUACCCAAGACCGGAAUCGACCUGGAGUCCCUGGUGCCAUGAAGCAGCAGUUCUAACCACUGAGCCACCGUUUCAGAUUGGAAACUGACAAACAUAAAUUCUUCAUUCAAAAAGAGAACCAAAAAAACAAACAGCAAAACUACAGGCUAAUUCACUUAGCUUUUGAAAGAGGGCAGAUGUAGGAACCAUUAUUAAAGUUUUUGUAACAGUGCACUUAAAGCAAUUCAAGAAAAUCAGGUAAGAUUAAAUUGAAAAAAAGAGAACAAUACUACCCAGGAACAGGCCCUUCAGCCCUCCGAGCCUUUGCUGACACAUUUUGCCUUUGCAUAUUAAAACUGUCUUCACUUACAGGAUCUGUAUCCCUCUGUUCCCUUCCUAUUCAUGUUUCUCCAGCAGUGCAUUCCAGGCACCCUCCACCCUUUGUGUAAAAAAUGUGCCUCACACAUCUCUUUUAAAUUUCCGCCCCCCACCGCCCCUUGAACUUUGUUCCCCAGUCAUUGACCCGCCACCCUGGGAAAAAGACUCACACUUUCCAUGCCAUCUGUGCCGUUCACAAUCCUCUAAACAGGUCACACCUCAACUGCCUGCAUUCCAGUGAAAACAAACCCAGUCUAUCCAACCUUUCUUCAUAGCUAAAAUCCCUUAUACCAGCAAUAUCCUGGUAAACAUUUUCUAUACCCUCUCCAAAGCAUCCACAUCUUUCUGGUAAUGUGGUUACCACAACCAAACGCAAUAUUCCAAGUGUGGCUUAAAAUUUCUGUAAAGCUGCAGCUCAACCUGCCUAUCCUGACACGCAAUGCCCCUUCCAAUGAAGGCCUUUUUGUACAAACUUAUCUACCUGUGCUAUGACUGUCAGUGAUCUGUGGACCUGCAUAACCAGAUCCCUCUGUAUACCAAUACCCUGCCAUUCACUGUACAAUUUCCACCUGUACUUGACCUUCCAAAAUGCAUGGUUUAUGUUUAUGGCGAUGACCUAGUGAUAUUAUCGCUAGACUAUUUAUCCAGCUAUGGCUUAAUAUUCUGGGAAUCCAUGUUCAAAUCCAACCACAGCAGAUGGUGGAAUUUGAAAUCAAUAAAAAAAAAUCUGGAAUUAAGAA